CGAACGCUGGCGGCGUGCUUAACACAUGCAAGUCGAACGGAAAGGCCCUGCUUUUGUGGGGUGCUCGAGUGGCGAACGGGUGAGUAACACGUGAGUAACCUGCCCUUGACUUUGGGAUAACUUCAGGAAACUGGGGCUAAUACCGGAUAGGAGCUCCUGCUGCAUGGUGGGGGUUGGAAAGUUUCGGCGGUUGGGGAUGGACUCGCGGCUUAUCAGCUUGUUGGUGGGGUAGUGGCUUACCAAGGCUUUGACGGGUAGCCGGCCUGAGAGGGUGACCGGCCACAUUGGGACUGAGAUACGGCCCAGACUCCUACGGGAGGCAGCAGGGGGGAAUAUUGCACAAUGGGCGGAAGCCUGAUGCAGCAACGCCGCGUGCGGGAUGACGGCCUUCGGGUUGUAAACCGCUUUCGCCUGUGACGAAGCGUGAGUGACGGUAAUGGGUAAAGAAGCACCGGCUAACUACGUG
rnacentral:rRNA from 1 species